AUAUUGCUCAAUGGGGGAAACCCUGAUGCAGCGACGCCGCGUGAGCGAAGAAGGCCUUCGGGUUGUAAAGCUCUUUCCUUAGGUAAGAAACGGACGGUACCUGAGGAGGAAGCCCCGCCCAACUACGUGCAAGCAGCCGCGGUAAUACGUAGGGGGCGAGCGUUAUCCGGAAUUAUUGGGCGUAAAGGGGGCGUAGGCGGCUUUUUAAGUCAGGUGUGAAAGGCUACGGCUUAACCGUAGUUAGCAUUUGAAACUAAAAGGCUUGAGUGCAGGGGGGGAGAGUGGAAUUCCUAGUGUAGCGGUGAAAUGCGUAGAUAUUAGGAGGAACACCAGUGGCGAAGGCGACUCUCUGGACUGCAACUGACGCUGAGGCACGAAAGCGUGGGGAGCGAAC
rnacentral:rRNA from 1 species